rnacentral:rRNA from 1 species
UACGUAGGGGGCAAGCGUUGUCCGGAAUCAUUGGGCGUAAAGAGCGCGUAGGCGGUCCGGUAAGUCCGCUCUGAAAGUCCGGGGCUCAACCCCGGGAGGCGGGCGGAUACUGUCGGGCUAGAGUCCGGAAGAGGCGAGUGGAAUUCCUGGUGUAGCGGUGAAAUGCGCAGAUAUCAGGAGGAACACCAAUGGCGAAGGCAGCUCGCUGGGACGGUACUGACGCUGAGGCACGAAAGCGUGGGGAGCAAACAGG